rnacentral:rRNA from 1 species
CACGGGGGGAGCAAGCGUUGUUCGGAAUCACUGGGCGUAAAGGGCGUGUAGGCGGUCAGGUUAGUGAGAUGUGAAAUGCCCCGGCUCACCCGGGGACCUGCAUCUCAAACUGCCUGGCUUGAGUAUGGGAGAGGAUGAGGGAAUUCCUGGUGUAGCGGUGAAAUGCGUAGAUAUCAGGAGGAACACCGGUGGCGAAAGCGCUCAUCUGGCCCAAUACUGACGCUGAGGCGCGAAAGCUAGGGGAGCAAACGGG